rnacentral:lncRNA from 1 species
AAAGAAGAAGGUGAUAAAGGAAAACAGAUGGUAGUGGUUCCUAUCAAGAUCUUAGAGAAAGAGAAUAUUAAGGGAGACAAAUUGAUAUCCAACUAAUCAGAAGCUGGAUGUAGUUGAAGGACUUCUUGUUCUAAUUUAUCUGGCUGUGUCUUCACUGAGCAGCAGUAUGCUGAUUGUUUUACCUGUGGUAGCUACAAAAAUCUCGUAAAAUAUAGAGCAGGAUGCCUAGUGGAAACUGAGGCUGAGAAAGAUACAACAACUUGUUGAAUAUCACAGAAAGAAUUUGUGAUUAAAGAUUCACAUACAGCCCUCUUCAUGAUUGCAGAAUCUCAGCUUUCAACUACACUGAUUCUCCACAGUGAUGCAUUUCUUGUUGUAAUUUAAUACAAGGAGAACAUGGAAUGGAAAAAAUCUGACCAGCAUUGCAUAAUAUGAUAAAAAUAACUCAUGAUUAAUUUAAAA